GAUGGACCCUUGCCCUCUGGCUAUCUGGCUUUGAGUUACAGGAAAAGAAGAGGUUCACCCAGCACCUUGCGACAGGGCAAUGCACAUGUCCCUGUUUCACAGGCCAUGUGACCAGCACUGAGGGAACUGGCAUGGACGCCGGUAGCAGAGCUGCAGCAUGGCAGACGCUCAGGAAGCUCCUAUGGGGAGUAGACGUCAUGGCAGGAUACCCCUUGGACUGUGCCCCCGCUUUCCGGUUUCCCGCCCCCUCUCCCCUUUGGAAUGGUGGGUCCUCCUCAUCUUUGAGGACUUGGUUUAAAUGUUCUGCUUCCAAGAGGUCUACUUCAGCUACCGUGGCAAAGGAGCAGUCCUCUCCACUGCAUUAUUCUCUCUCAGAGUAUCCUGCUUUUUCCUCCCCUGACUGAACACCACGGGUGAUUAGGUAUUUACUUGUCACUGUCUUCCCCCUGGAUCACACCCACCACACAGGCAGGGACUCCGUACAUCAGCUUCAUCCCCUGUGAUGUUCAUGGACAAGCACAAUGCCUAGAGCCCGAGGUGCUCAGGAAAUACCUGUUGCCUGCAAGAGUGACAUUUGAGGAAAGUCUCAUUUAGCAAAUGUGUUUGUUGGCCAGUUGAAUCAGAGCUCUUAUUUUAUGUACCAGGGAGAAAAAUCUAUAGAUUCCAUAGGUUUGGCAGAGAGCUGGAUGUCUUUGAGGAGGAAGGGUUUUCAUUAAAACAUACAACCACAACAAAGCAAGAAAAACAGAGCAACUGAUGUAAGCAUGCCAACCAAGCCUGCAUGUGAAGCAAUGGAAUAAAAAGAAGUAAAAAUUUAUGAACAAUUGCAGUAGGACCCUGCAUAAACAUGACCCGCUAUUAUGCAUAAUUCAAUGCAUGGCAUUUUAGUGUUGGACUCUGUCCAACAUGAUUUAUUACUAGAUGAAAAAGGAGAAUCUUGUUAAAACACAGCUUUACCUAAAACAUGGUCCCAGACAGGGAUCUGGAGAACAAUGUCCCAGGGAGGCUCCAGUUUAGUUCUAAGACAGGGACAGAGUUCUCAUUUCAUCCUCUGUUCAACUUCUUGCUUUGAACAAAUGAGUAGCCUGGAUUAUUCUCCUUUUUAAAACCAAUUGUUUUGUUUGGUGAAGAUGAAAAGAGCCGUGUCAGCUCUAAUACAGGAGAAAAAAAGUUUUUAAGGUAAAUAUCCUUGGGUAUAUAGUGGCUGCUUUUUUAUUUAAAUUUAAACUGAGGAGUAUAUAAUUUGAAUUAUAGAAAUUAGAGGCUACAAAUCAGAAAUAUCCUCAAAUUUCCUUAAACGAUUAAAAAUGAUCUUUCUUCACUUUGACAGAAUUUUAUUUGAGGAAAGACAGGGGUAGGAAAGGGAGGAGGGGGAGGGUGAAGGGAGAUAUGAUCAGAAAAUACAGACUGAAUUUUGAAUGUUGGCUCAUGCAAUUAGUGUCCUGUCUUUUCUUAAGCAACCACCAACAGAACCAGAAAGUUAGCAUGUCUUUAGAAAUUGCUUCUCCCCACACCCCUCACCCCCACCUUCCACUGGCCCAUGAAAGUCAAGUUGCCUGGAAAAAUACAUUCUGAUACUGAAAACAAUAUUCUGGUUGGACUGUGGCUUAUUCUUGAAGCUGCCAUGCAGGAGUCUUUUGCAGGAGCUUUAAAAUUCUACAGAUCAGGUACUUUGUGGUUUAUAGAAUAUGAAAAAUAAAG
ensembl:lincRNA